AUGGACAUCUACAACGUGGAGGCCGCCGAGAUCCUCGCCCACGAGACCCUCAAUCUCCCCAUCGGCGAGGCCGCCCCCAUCUACGAGAAGCUGCUCGCCACCUUCCCGACAGCGGCUAAGUACUGGAAGCAGUAUGUGGAAUCAUACAUUGUCACGAACGACGAGGAGACCGCCAAGCAGAUAUUCAGCAGAUGCUUGCUCACCUGCCCUCAUAUUAAUCUCUGGCGUUGUUACAUCAACUUUAUUAAAAAAGUAAACAGCAAAAGGGGCUCUGAGGGUCUGGAAGAGACAAAAAAGGCUUUUGAUUUCAUGCUUAACUAUGUCGGCAAUGAUGUGGCAUCUGGCCCCGUUUGGAUGGAGUACAUUGCAUUCUUGAAGUCAAUGCCGGUUAUGACGCCCCAGGAAGAGUCACACCGCAUGACUACUAUACGUAAAGUAUAUCAGAAGGCAAUUUUAGUUCCAACUAGUCAUGUCGAGCAGCUAUGGAAGGAUUAUGAUAACUUCGAAAAUUCAGUUAGCCGCACCUUGGCAAAAGGCUUGCUAUCUGAGUAUCAACCGAAGUUUAACAGUGCUAAGGCUGUAUAUAGAGAGCGUAAGAAGUAUAUCGAUGAUAUUGAUUGGGGCAUGCUGGCCACCCCCUCUACAGGCUCCUACAAGGAAGAGCAACAGUGUUUGGCAUGGAAAAGACUUCUGACAUUCGAGAAGGGGAAUCCUCAAAGAAUUGAUGUUACAGCUGCUAAUAGGCGUAUUACCUUUACUUAUGAGCAAUGCCUAAUGUAUCUAUACCAUCAUCCUGAUGUAUGGUAUGAUUAUGCUACAUGGCAUGCAAAGAAUGGUUCUACGGAUUCUGCAAUCAAAAUAUUUCAGCGUGCUGUAAAAGCACUCCCUGGUUCUGAAGUACUAAAAUACGCCUUUGCUGAACUGGAAGAGUCUGUAGGGGCGAUUCAGCCUGCUAAGACAAUAUACGAGUCUCUUGUAGCUGAAAAUGCAAGCAUGUCAUCACUUGCACACAUUCAGUUUAUUCGGUUUCUAAGGAGAACAGAAGGCAUUGAAGCAGCUCGCAAGUACUUUUUGGAAGUUCGGAAGUUGCCAAGCUGCACUUAUCAUGUCUAUGUUGCAUAUGCUACAAUGUCGUUUUGCCUCGACAAAGAUGCGAAGGUGGCUCAAAAUGUUUUUGAAGUUGGUUUAAAGCGAUUUAUGCAAGAACCAGGAUAUGUCCUCGAAUAUGCAGACUUCCUGUGUCGCUUAAACGACGAUAGAAAUGUACGUGCAUUGUUUGAGCGAGCUCUGAGCUUACUUCCUCCCGAGGAAUCCGUAGAGGUAUGGAAACGAUUUGCUCAAUUUGAGCAGAUUUAUGGGGAUUUGUCAAGCAUGUUAAAGGUGGAACAAAGAAGGAAGGAAGCUUUAUCUAGGACAUCAGAAGAUGUCGUAUCGUCCUUAGAGAACACACUUUAUGACGUUGUUUCUAGAUAUAAUUAUAUGGAUCUCUGGCCAUGCUCAUCAAAAGAAUUGGAUUAUCUGUCAAGACAGGAGUGGCUUGCAAAGAACAUGUGUAAGAAGGCUGACAGGUCAGUUAUGCUAACUAGUGGUGGCGGUUCUACCUUAGAUAAAGGCACUGUUGGAGUUGGUGCCAAUGCAAAGUUAUUGCCGCAGUCUACAAAAGUUGUCCGCCCUGAGACUUCUCGAAUGGUUAUUUAUGAUCCUAGACAGAUGAAAGGACCAGUGAUUUCAGCCACAUCCAGUGGGUACACAAAGGAGGUUGACGAAAUAUUCAAAAUGCUUUCUCCACCACUCAUGUCUUUCAUCACAAAUUUGCCUGCUAUUGAAGGUCCAUCACCAGAUAUAGACAUUGUGCUUAGCGUUCUACUGCAAAGCACACUGCCAACAGGACAUGAUGUUGGCAAACCGUCUGCUCCAGUUCCUGGCCCUGCCACAAGUGAUAUCUCGGGUCCCCGCAACCAAAAUGGAUCAGUUCGUAGACCUCCAAAAAGGAAGGCUGUUGAAAGGCAAGAGGAAGAAGACGCAGCAGCAGCUGCGCAGAGUCGAGCCAUGCCAGAUAUAUUCAGGCUCAGGCAGAUCCAGAGGAGCCGCGGUGGGGGCCCUGCUCAGUCUGGAUCGGCGGCGAUGUCCAGUGGAAGCAUGUUUUCCGGGGAACAAUCAGCCAACAGUUCAAGCUAG
rnacentral:rRNA from 1 species